UCUCCAGUGGCGCAAUCGGUCAGCGCGCGGUACUUAUAAUGCCGAGGUUGUGAGUUCAAGCCUCACCUGGAGCA
rnacentral:tRNA from 1 species